GUUAUUUGCCAGAAAAUGUGGAGAAGGGAAGGGAGGAAAGGGAAGGAAAGAGGUAGGAGGUGAGAGUGAGGGAAAGAAGAAGGUAACUUGUGCAUUCCCCACAUGGCCCUCUGUUAUCCAAAUAGCUUUUAGAGAUGGGAAAAUAAACAUCUUGUUGAGGAAUGCUACUGUUGUAUCUGCUAACAAUCAUGCUAACAGUUAAAAAAAGAAAAAAAGGAAAGAAAAAUAUAAAAAUAAAAAAAGGAAAAAAAAAGAGCAAAGACAUUGGGGACCUUGCUAUCAGUGAUGAUCAAUGGUAUACAAAAAGGAUAUUUCUGACCUAAGUGUCAGUAAGAGAAUGGGGGAACUGUCUACAUGGACUCCAGAAACAUGAGCUCUCGAUUAUUGGAGGAAAUUAAUGAAUGUGCAUGGAUCCAACUGUUACCCCACAGGGUUUUCCAUUCCCUACCUAUGCCCAUGUCCUGACCUCAUCCCAGUUCCUUAUCACAGUGAGAAAUAAUUGCUCACUAUGUCCACCACUGACAAGAAGGAAACCUGGGCAUGCAAUCUGGAAGGAAGCUCCAGGACAGAGUGGCCAGGUUUCUGAAACUUCAGCAUAACCCAAGAGAACAAGUAGGAAAUGAAUCAUCCUGUUCAUUUCUUGUAAGGAAAAGAAGAACCAAAAGGGAUUGGAGAGAAAACACAUUUAAACAACCUUUCUCCCUUCACCCUUUCUGGAACCACCGAAAAUAAAUCUGCAGAUGGAAAGUAGUGUUUAUAAGGAAACAAGAGAGUCAUCAGAUAUUGUGAUAACGGAAUCUCAUUAUGGCUGACAUUGGAAGGGACCUCUGGAAGGGACCUCUGGAAGUCACGUCAUCCAACACAACUACUCAAGCAGGGCCACCCAGUCCAACACCCAUAUCAAGACCCAGACCAUACCCAGACAGCUUCUGAAUAUCAUCAAGGAUGGUGGCAUCUUAGCCUUUCUGAGAAACCUGUGCCAGUGUUCACUUACUCACACAGUAAAAAAGUGAUAUUCUUGUGGGGGCCUACGCAAAGAGACAAUUACUAUGUGUUUGGACUGUAUGUAACAUAGAAGAGACAUACCUAUUUCAUGUCCUGUGAAAGAGAAUUAACAAACUUUUAUCAUGCAACAGAUUCAGGUCUGUUUUAAAGGAAAAGUAGACUUUUUAAUUAAAUUCUGUAAGUGAUAUUCAAUUUUUUGUAAUCACAGCUGUUCUCCAGCACACUGAAACAAAGCAGGCUGUAUUUAUUUAGUAUGACUCCAUUUUAGUCACCUAUUAAUAAAUUAAAAAAAAAGUUGUGAUGAGUUACAUCAGUAACUUAUUUAACUGACUUGGGAAUCAAGUACUCCAAAAAUUUCUUUAGAAACUGUGAAGCUCCUUUGAAUAAAUUACAGUUCUUAGAACAGGCAAGCAAAUCUCUUUUUCACAUACAGUGAGACUAAUUUUCCCUUCAGCUCUGUAUUCUGACAAAGAUGAAAUAAACGUCCUGAUAUCUACCUCCAGCCCAUUUUCUAAAAGUCACUGCAUUAUUACAAAAUAACAAGCUCUGGAUAUUGUGAUAUGUUAUUGAGGUAUAUAAUUAAGACUGUAUUGGGAUUUGCACUGAAAGUAUAAUUAAAGUUCCCCUUACAAUUUUACUACUAAGUGUAGUCUCACUAUUUGGCAUUAAAUCUGUAAGUACAGAGAAAUUUUAUAGAUACAUUAAAACUUUUG
ensembl:lncRNA